rnacentral:lncRNA from 12 species
ACAAGCCCAGGAAUGUCUGGUACCACUAAAAGCUGGAAGGGCAAGGAAGGAUUCUCCAGCAGAGCCUUCAGAGGGACUCCAUGGCCUGGCGAUACCUUGAUCCAGGACUUCUAGCCUCCAGGCCUGGGAGAGAAUGAUUUUCUAUUCUUCUCAGCCAGCCAGGGUGUGGUAUUUUUACAGCAGCCCUAGGAAAUAAUAUAGGAACCCCUCAGUGGUGGCAUUGCUGGGCUUCUCCACGUGGACAUGCAAGUCCCUGCAAACGAGGGCAGGAGCAGAGAUAGAAGAGAGAUCAGUGAGCUGGGGUUUGCAGUAAAGAGCGAGAAGACUUGGAGAUGCGGGAAACCCUCCUGAGCAGGGACUGUGGAUAGCUCCAACACCGUCCACCUGAGACUUGCCAUGGUAUUUGGGAAGAAGCUCCCAGAGAAAGUGGUGAGCAGUGACAUUCAUUCCAAAUUGUUCUUUUCUCCAAAUGGAAGCUACGUCGGGUCUUCGGAGGAUGGGUAUAAACUUAGGAGGUUGACGGACAGGCAGCCAUCCAGUGGAAGUCAGAUGCUAAUGCCUAAUGUGUGAGAUUUAAGAGAAGGGGCAAAAUCAACCUUGGUGAACCCCACUGUUCUGAUCUGCAAGAAUGAUGGUAGAAAUGGAAUAUGUUUGGGAAACAAAGAAACAUAAAUAAGGAUGCAGAGCUGUUUCCACCAGCCUGGGGACAGUGGCUCCCACCAGCUGUACACUUUGGUAAAUGACCCCUCCUGUCCCAACGAUCCUGCUGUAAGUACAAGAGCAGCACGUGAGACAUCUUUCCACAUGGAUGGGUAGUUUUAUCAAGUGGAAUUGAAUCCCUCCAAAUCAAGAGGAUUAUUUUGGAUAAGCCAUUAAAAUUAUUAAUUAAAAUGUUA